GUUCGUGUGUGUGUGUGUUCCUGCUGAUGUCACGGUGCUGUUGCUGUUCCCAUUCGUGAUCCUUCACCCGCAAGAGUAAUUUUGGAUUUCCGUCAGCGUCUCAGCGUAGAAAAUUUCGGAAGACGGACAGACAGAUGAUAAGGUUAAGCAAAGGACAUAAUAAAAAAAAUCCGGCAUUAUGUUCCUCUCAUAAGAAUAGCACCUCAUACCCCACCCGACCCCUCCCGCGGCGUGCCUCAGCCAGGGAAGGUGGCAUGUAGUGGCUGCGCUGCGGUCGCCCUUUGUAACCUGCUGCCCAGACGCUCGCCAAGGCUGCGGGAGAGGGAGGAAGAAAGGGAGAAAGAGUGUGGUCCAGGGACGUUUGUGA